rnacentral:rRNA from 1 species
CACGUAGGGCGCAAGCGUUGUCCGGAAUUAUUGGGCGUAAAGAGCUCGUAGGCGGACUGUCACGUCUGCUGUGAAAAGCUGGGGCUUAACCCUGGCCUUGCAGUGGAUACGGGCAGACUAGAGGUAGGUAGGGGAGAAUGGAAUUCCAGGUGUAGCGGUGAAAUGCGUAGAUAUCUGGAGGAACACCGGUGGCGAAGGCGGCAUCCUGGACCAACACUGACGCUGAGUGAGCGAAAGCCAGGGGAGCAAACGGG